UAGUGCCUGGAUCUGUCUCUCAACUGGUUCCAAACUCAGAAAAUAGACCCAAGCGUGACUAACCAUCAGUGCGAAAGCCAACAGACUGUGCUGAGUAGAGGCCUCGGUGCUGCAGAGUGUGAGAAUCUGGACUCUCUCAGCUUGUGAGCCCUAGCAAUCCUGCCCUGCACUGCGCUCUCUGAAAGAAGCCUGACUUUAUCAAGAAGCCCA
rnacentral:lncRNA from 1 species